GUAUUGUAACGCAAAAGGCAGAAACAAAAGCAGCCAAAAAGCAAAAGAUGGUUCAGCACUGGUAAGAAGACCAUAGGCUGGCUACUACUACACACAGCAGCACAUGUUAUGAAAACGAAAAGAAAAAGCUAAGUUGGAUGUAUGUGAUGGCAUUUGUGAAUAAAUGAAUGCUAUGGAGAGUGCCUUUUGGGGCGUUUGCUCCAAAAUAUUCCUGAACCAGCAAUCUGCCCGUACGCAUCGUUUGAUAGUUUAAUCAUCAACAGCCACAGCACAAGCCUCAGUUUGUGCUGCUGUUCCUGAAACAUACACAGAUCAGGCAGCAGCAGGAGUUUCCUUUUCUCAACUCUCUUCACUCUUUCUUUUAACAGAUACAUAGAUAGAGAGAUAGGCAGAGAAACAUGGUUUCUGAAACCUCCCUCUCUUCUUCUAAACGCUCUCCGGCUACUCCCAAGUUUUGCAACUCAUUCACUACUAGGAUUUUUGCUGAUGUUGCCGGAGACAUUACAAUUGUCGUUGAUGGUGAAUCUUUUCUGCUACAUAAGUUUCCCCUGGUGACUCUAAGUGGGAAAAUCCGGAAAAUGGUGGCUGAAGCCAAGGGUUCCAAUGUUUCAAACUUGGAGCUCCUCAACUUUCCAGGGGGGCACCAGACAUUUGAACUUGCCAUGAAGUUUUGCUAUGGGAUGAAUUUUGAGAUUACAACAUUCAAUGUUGCCCGGCUUCGUUGUGCAGCAGAGUAUCUGGAAAUGACAGAAGAAUACAGGGAGCAAAACCUCAUUUCAAGAGCAGAGAUUUAUCUGAAUGAGAUUGUCUUUCAGAGUCUUCAGAAGUCAGUGGAAGUGCUAUCCACAUGUGAGAUGUUGCCUACAAAUAUAGUGGAUGAAAUUGAAAUAUCAAGUGGAUGUGUGGAAUCCAUUGCAAUGAAUGCUUGCAAGGAGCAGCUAGUUUCUGGCUUAUCUAAAUUAGACUGUGAUGGAGAAUCUAGAGAGCUAAAGGAGGAUUGUGUUGCCUGGUGGGUUGAAGAUCUCUCAGUACUGCGUAUAGAUUACUUCCAAGGAGUUAUUUGUGCCAUGGGAAGAAUGGGGGUGAGAUCAGAUAGCAUUAUUGCAUCACUGAUGCAUUAUGCUCAAUCAUCUCUAAAGGGUAUUGGAAAAUGCCAAUUCUGGAAUCCAUCAAGGACAAACUCAAGUCCAACCAGUGUAGAAAAGGACCAGAGGAUAAUUGUGGAAACUCUUGUGAGUCUCAUGCCAACAGACAAAAGCUCUGCCAUUCCCUUGACAUUUUUGUUUGGCAUGUUAAAGAUGGCUAUCAUGUUAGGUGCAAACAUUCCCUGUAGGCUUGAGCUUGAAAGAAGGAUUGCAUUACGGUUGGAAAUGGUCUCAUUAGAUGAUCUACUUAUACCAUCACUGCAGAGUGGAGACUCUUUGUUUGAUGUUGAUACAGUUCACAGGCUACUGGUGAAUUUCUUGCAAAGGGUCGAAGAGGAAGAAACUGAAGAUUGUGGAUAUGAAUCUGAUGGGCUUUGUUCUGCUGGCCAUGGUUCCCUGCUAAAAGUGGGGCAGCUUAUAGAUGCUUAUUUAGCAGAAAUUGCACCUGAUCCGUACUUAAGUCUACAGAAAUUCGUUGCUUUGAUAGAGAUACUUCCUGAUUAUGCUCGUGUUAUUGACGAUGGCCUUUAUAGAGCCGUGGACAUUUAUUUGAAGGCACAUCCAGCACUAACAGAGCAAGAAUGCAAGAAGCUGUGCAAGUUGAUAGACUGCCAGAAGCUAUCUCAAGAAGCAUGCAACCAUGCAGCACAGAAUAACAGGCUUCCACUGCAGAUGGUGGUGCAAGUGCUGUACUUCGAGCAGCUGCGUUUGAAGAACGCGUUGUCAGGGAGUUCAGGAGAUGGGCUGCUAUCACAGAGAAUAAGCAGUGGUGUUCCAAGUGCAGCCAUGUCCCCAAGGGACAACUAUGCCUCUCUGAGGAGAGAAAACCGGGAACUGAAGCUGGAGAUUUCAAGAAUGAGGGUGAGGCUGAGUGAGUUGGAGAAGGAACAGAUGUUCAUGAAACAAGGCAUGAUUGACAAGGGAGGAAAUGGAAGAACAUUCUUAACAUCAAUUUCAAAGGGUAUUGGGAAGAUUGCAAUUUUUAGUGGUCAAGGAGGAGGAAAGCGCCAGAAAUCAGGUAGGAAGUCUCGUGGUUCAGAGGGGAAAACUGGUAGAAGUAGGAGACACUCUGUCUCAUAGAUAUUGUUCUUCUCUACUUAGCUAAAAACUCUCUCUAUUAUACCUUAUCAGGUGCACACAACAUGUAAAUGACUUGAUCAACAGCUUCUCUUCAUCUUGGUCUUAAGUUUUGGCAGUUGAACUUCAUAUCCCACAUUCUCCCUUCCCUGUUGUACAUGAUUUCAGCUCCUGAGAUAAGGUCCUUGUUCAUUACACAGUUACACCAAGACAAAAGCACAAACAUUUCAAUGUGUAGCAUCAUCGUCACCUUGUCUAGGGACACAGUUGAAGCACUUCCUUUCCCACUGAUAAAAUGGAAGUGACACCAGUAAUUGUCUUCAUCCAUUCUGCCCAAAAUCUCUUUGUGGGUACGUUACUGGCAUGCAGUAUGUUCGAUAAAUCCGAAACAUUUUGUUGGUAGAUUUAAGACAUGUUGAUUUCUGUAAUGUAAUGCACUCCCUUCUUGGUGACAAAAAUCUUGACAUAUGUUUUAUUUUCUAUUUUCGAUGCAAGGAAAC